GACUUCCUACGGGGGGCAGCAGUGGGGAAUAUUGCACAAUGGGGGGAACCCUGAUGCAGCGACGCCGCGUGGGUGAAGGAGUACUUCGGUACGUAAAGCCCUCUCAGCAGGAAAGAAAAUGACGGUACCUGACUAAGAAGCCCCGGCUAACUACGUGCCAGCAGCCGCGGUGAUACGUAGGGGGCAAGCGUUAUCCGGAUUUACUGGGUGUAAAGGGAGCGUAGACGGCAGUGCAAGUCCGGAGUGAAAGCCCAGGGCUCAACCCUGGAACUGCGUUUGAAACUGUUCUUCUUGAGUGAUGGAGG
rnacentral:rRNA from 1 species